AGCAUUGGAACCACCUGAUCCCAUCCCGAACUCAGUAGUGAAACGAUGCAUCGCCGAUGGUAGUGUGGGGUUUCCCCAUGUGAGAGUAGGUC
rnacentral:rRNA from 3 species